rnacentral:lncRNA from 1 species
CCCGCUCUCGGUGGCAGGAGCGUUGGAUUUCGACGAGUACCGGUUGACCCCAGCGCAGGAAGGACCCAAGAGGAGCCGGAGUAAAGCUUUCCGUAUCCCUGGGUUGAGCCGCAAGGAGAGGGAUCGUGACGCUGUGGAUUCCCCGGAUGCCGAGGUGGGCUGCCCGGAGGUGGAUGAGGACGGCUUCACCGUGCGCCCCGACAUCGCCCACAGUAUCCUUGUGCUGGGGGGGGCUGCGGGGCGUGAUUUUUGGGGUGUCCCAGUGCUGGGUGUUGCCUUGACGGGGGCUCAGCCGAGGCGGAGAACCACGUCUGCCCCUCCAGCGACUCCGACUACGACGAGGACGAACCCCGCAAGUUUUACGUCCACAUCAAGCCGGUGCAGCCCCGGGAGGCGGCCGGCAGCGCCGAGGCCACCAUGGAGCAGCUCAAAGCCACCGUGGGGAACCUCAUCCUGCCCCCCAGUAUUGGGGUGAGCCUGGAA